GCGUAAGCGUGCGUAGGUGGUCGUUUAAGUCCGUUGUGAAAGCCCUGGGCUCAACCUGGGAACUGCAGUGGAUACUGGGCGACUAGAAUGUGGUAGAGGGUAGCGGAAUUCCUGGUGUAGCAGUGAAAUGCGUAGAGAUCAGGAGGAACAUCCAUGGCGAAGGCAGCUACCUGGACCAACAUUGACACUGAGGCACGAAAGCGUGGGGAGCAAACAGGAUUAGAUACCCUGGUAGUCCACGCCCUAAACGAUGCGAACUGGAUGUUGGGUGCAAUUUGGCACGCAGUAUCGAAGCUAACGCGUUAAGUUCGCCGCCUGGGGAGUACGGUCGCAAGACUGAAACUCAAAGGAAUUGACGGGGGCCCGCACAAGCGGUGGAGUAUGUGGUUUAAUUCUAUGCAACGCGUAGAACCUUACCUGGCCUUGACAUGUCGAGAACGUGCGAGAGAUGGAUUGCUGCCUUCCGGACCUCGAACACAGGUGCUGCAUGGCUGU
rnacentral:rRNA from 1 species